rnacentral:rRNA from 1 species
GAUGAACGCUGGCGGCGUGCCUAAUACAUGCAAGUCGAGCGAACAGAUGAGGAGCUUGCUCUUCUGACGUUAGCGGCGGACGGGUGAGUAACACGUGGAUAACCUACCUAUAAGACUGGGAUAACUUCGGGAAACCGGAGCUAAUACCGGAUAAUAUAUUUAACCGCAUGGUUCAAUAGUGAAAGACGGUUUUGCUGUCACUUAUAGAUGGAUCCGCGCCGCAUUAGCUAGUUGGUAAGGUAACGGCUUACCAAGGCAACGAUGCGUAGCCGACCUGAGAGGGUGAUCGGCCACACUGGAACUGAGACACGGUCCAGACUCCUACGGGAGGCAGCAGUAGGGAAUCUUCCGCAAUGGGCGAAAGCCUGACGGAGCAACGCCGCGUGAGUGAUGAAGGUCUUCGGAUCGUAAAACUCUGUUAUUAGGGAAGAACAAAUGUGUAAGUAACUAUGCACGUCUUGACGGUACCUAAUCAGAAAGCCACGGCUAACUACGUG